AGAUUGAACGCUGGCGGAAUGCUUUACACAUGCAAGUCGAGCGGCAGCGCGGGGGCAACCCUGGCGGCGAGCGGCGAACGGGUGAGUAAUACAUCGGAACGUGUCCUGGAGUGGGGGAUAGCUCGGCGAAAGCCGGAUUAAUACCGCAUAAGCUCUGAGGAGGAAAGCGGGGGAUUCGCAAGGACCUCGCGCUGUUGGAGCGGCCGAUGUCGGAUUAGCUAGUUGGUGGGGUAAAGGCCCACCAAGGCGACGAUCCGUAGCUGGUCUGAGAGGAUGAUCAGCCACACUGGAACUGAGACACGGUCCAGACUCCUACGGAGGCAGCAGUGGGAAUUUUGGACAAUGGGGGCAACCCUGAUCCAGCCAUUCCGCGUGAGUGAAGAAGGCCUUCGGUUGUAAAGCUCUUUCGGACGGAACGAAAUAGGUUAACGGCUAACACCUGUGACUGAUGACGGUACCGUAAGAAGAAGCACGGACUAACUACGUGCCAGCAGCCG
rnacentral:rRNA from 1 species